rnacentral:rRNA from 1 species
UACGAGGGGGCAAGCGUUGUUCGGAAUUAUUGGGCGUAAAGGGCGCGUAGGCGGUUUGACAAGUCUGAUGUGAAAUCUCUGGGCUCAACCCAGAGUCUGCAUUAGAAACUGUCGGGCUUGAGUAUGGGAGAGGUGAGUGGAAUUUCCGGUGUAGCGGUGGAAUGCGCAGAUAUCAGGAGGAACACCGAUGGCGAAGGCAGGUCUCUGGGCCACUACUGACGCUGGAGAAGCGAAAGCCAUGGGGAGCGAACAGG